rnacentral:lncRNA from 1 species
UGAACACACGUUCAAUCUUUUUCAUGGAUUAAUUUUAAUGAGAGUAAAAUAAAUCGAUUCAUUAAAAUUAUUAUCGUUACGUAUAAUUAAACUCGACAAAACCCGCUUCGAUUUCCCAUUUGAGAAGCGUCAAUUCAAAUAAACCGCCGUUCACUUUACUGUAAUUGUUGGCAAUCUUGCACUCAUUUGACAACAAUGCAGACAGCCGGAAAGUACAAACAGUGAUACAUUGGAGUUUACGGGAGUGAACCUUCUGUUGGUGAAGCCUAUAUAUUCUGUGUUUUGAAGGAAGGGAGCUUUUCAUGUCAAUCGGUGUCUCUUUAAACUUUCAUUUUGUGUCUUGUCCUGAAAUAAAGUUUAGGUACGUGUUUUCGCUAGAUCUCUCCCACAAGCCGGCGUGUAACACCUCCUUGCAAUUGCUUUUAUAGCUCAAAGAAUCUGACAUCUACUCUCAAGGUAUCUGUAUGGAUUCAGCAAUGACUGAUGGCAGCUGGCGUUUCUCUCCUCCGUCGCCAAAAUGCCGAACAGGAGUAUAAGGCACUAACGCUAAAACUUGAAUCGCAGCUGUACUGGGACAUCCUUAAGAUUUACUCAGAGUCUGUUUUCUGUGAUGUAGAGAUUCAGUUCGAAAGUUCCUCUAUCAAAACACAUUCCAGCUUCCUAUCGCUGUAUGCGCCUCAAUUCUUUGCGGAGCUUCAGAAAUUGCAACAAACGCAGAAUCCUAUUUUUCUAAACAAAGCUAAAGACCACAUCGAAACCUUCAUCAGGUCUCUAUAUCAACCACCAAAAUCCUGUUUAAAAGAGAAAGAGCAAAAAACUCAUCAAAUGUCUUCCUUUCCUUCUAAAAGCAAAUGGUGAUGAGAGUCGAGACCUGUACUUGACUCCGGACUCAACCAAUGAGCCGGAAAGCGACCAUGAUGACUCCCACAGCCACUUAGUGCCAUCUUAUUUCAGUACAAACCAACUCUACUAUGCUCUCAUCACCCUUGAUGAAUCUUUCAUAAACGAUUCAGGUGUCGAGCAACUUGAAAAGGAACUCAGUGAACAGGACCAGCUAUCCCAAUCACUCUUGUCACUCAAAGAAAGCACCAUCAGGAAGACCGUUCCAGAAAUCAAAAGCAGCAAGGAAAACUCCCUCUCGAAAAGAAGUGGGAGUAAAGCCAGACGGCUGUCAUCCAGGAUCAAUGAUGAAAUGAGCGAUUCCGAAAAGGUGAGAAGAUUAAAAAUAAUGGGGCUGUUGCUGUCAGUGUUCGAAACUCACCUUUGAGUUUUAGGAGCCAUGUGGUGCAUCAAGUUCGAUUUUUA